UUCCUGGUGGUCCAAUGGCUAAGACCCUGCACUCCCAAGGCAGGAGUCACGGGAUCAAGCCCCGGUCAGGGAA
rnacentral:tRNA from 1 species